rnacentral:rRNA from 1 species
GAUCCUGGCUCAGAAUGAACGCUGGCGGCGCGCCUAAUACAUGCAAGUCGAGCGAGAAGACGUAGCAAUACGUUUGUAAAGCGGCGAACGGGUGAGGAAUACAUGGGUAACCUACCCUCGAGUGGGGAAUAACUAGCCGAAAGGUUAGCUAAUACCGCGUACGCUCCUUGGACUUCGGUUCAGGGAGGAAAGCGAUACCGUGGGUAUCGCGCUCUUGGAUGGGCUCAUGUCCUAUCAGCUUGUUGGUGAGGUAACGGCUCACCAAGGCUUCGACGGGUAGCUGGUCUGAGAGGACGAUCAGCCACACUGGCACUGCGACACGGGCCAGACUCCUACGGGAGGCAGCAGUAAGGAAUAUUGCGCAAUAGGCGAAAGCCUGACGCAGCGACGCCGCGUGGGGGAUGAAGGUCUUCGGAUUGUAAACCCCUUUCGGGAGGGAAGAUGGAAUGGGGUAACCCAUUCGGACGGUACCUCCAGAAGCAGCCACGGCUAACUUCGUGCCAGCAGCCGCGGUAAUACGAAGGUGGCAAGCGUUAUUCGGAUUUACUGGGCGUACAGGGAGCGUAGGCGGUUCGGUAAGCCCUUUGUGAAAUCUUCAGGCUUAACCUGGAAAAGUCGGAGGGGACUGCCGGGCUAGAGGACGGGAGAGGAGCGCGGAAUUCCCGGUGUAGCGGUGAAAUGCGUAGAGAUCGGGAAGAAGGCC